rnacentral:sRNA from 2 species
GGGAAACUUUAUUGCAGAUGCCACCUACCGCUAAAUUGAAAUAAAAAACCCGAUGCGCAGAUCAUCGGGUUCAUUGCA